GAGAUCCAGUACUGGGUCAGUAGGAGAGCUGAGAAGGCCUCCACUGAUCAUGUCUGGCUGGGGCUGCGCUUCUCCUGCUACCUGAACUUCUGGUUCUGGGUCAGUGCAGAAAAUGUCAGCUACCAGAACUGGGAAACAAACAACAUAUCCAACAGUAACUUGUGUGGAAGCACAGGGGCAGUACAAUCUAAAGACCCACAUUACUGGGUCAGCCUGCCUGAGACUACGGAGCUCAACUUCAUCUGCUCCAAAUAUUCAAUUCUUACAGGAAAGAGAACAGUGGUGAGACUGACUGUCAGGACUGAUGGAGACAUAAAGGAUCCUGCAUUCAGCAGCCAUCUGUUAACACAGUUACAGGAGAAACUGAUCAGUGCAGGCAUGUCAGAAGGCACCGAAUUAUCCUGGAGGACUCAACCUGAUGGCCAAAUCUUCCAUCUAAAGGACUAAAGAGCAUAAAUGACAAGGU